rnacentral:rRNA from 1 species
CCUACGGGCGGCAGCAGUGAGGAAUAUUGGUCAAUGGCCGAGAGGCUGAACCAGCCAAGUCGCGUGAGGGAAGACGGCCCUACGGGUUGUAAACCUCUUUUGUCGGGGAGCAAAGCGAGUCACGUGUGACUCAUUGAGAGUACCCGAAGAAAAAGCAUCGGCUAACUCCGUGCCAGCAGCCGCGGUAAUACGGAGUAUGCGAGCGUUAUCCGGAUUUAUUGGGUUUAAAGAGUGCGCAGGCGGAGGUGCAAGUCAGCGGUCAAAUUGCGGGGCUCAACCCCGUACUGCCGUUGAAACUGCAGCCCUUGAGUGCGCGAGAAGUAUGCGGAAUGCGUGGUGUAGCGGUGAAAUGCAUAGAUAUCACGCAGAACUCCGAUUGCGAAGGCAGCAUACCGGCGCGCAACUGACGCUCAUGCACGAAAGCGUGGGUAUCGAACAGGAUUAGAUACCCCAGUAGUC